GCGCCCGUAGCUCAGGGGAUAGAGCGACUGCCUUCUAAGCAGUAAGUCGUAGGUCCGAAUCCUACCGGGCGUA
rnacentral:tRNA from 1 species